rnacentral:snRNA from 1 species
GUACUUGCUUUGGCAGCACAUAUACUAAAAGUUGAAACAGUACAGAGAAGACUAGCAUGGCCCCCACGAAGGAUAACGUGCAAAUUCAUAAAGCACUCUGUAUAUUU